rnacentral:rRNA from 1 species
AUUGAACGCUGGCGGCAUGCUUUACACAUGCAAGUCGAACGGUAACAGGCCUUCGGGUGCUGACGAGUAGCGAACGGGUGAGUAAUGCAUCGGAACAUACCCAGUCGUGGGGGAUAACGUAGCGAAAGUUACGCUAAUACCGCAUACGUCCUGAGGGAGAAAGCGGGGGAUCGCAAGACCUCGCGCGAUUGGAGUGGCCGAUGUCAGAUUAGCUAGUUGGUGGGGUAAAGGCCCACCAAGGCGACGAUCUGUAGCGGGUCUGAGAGGAUGAUCCGCCACACUGGGACUGAGACACGGCCCAGACUCCUACGGGAGGCAGCAGUGGGGAAUUUUGGACAAUGGGGGAAACCCUGAUCCAGCCAUGCCGCGUGCGGGAAGAAGGCCU